AUUGAACGCUGGCGGCAGGCCUAACACAUGCAAGUCGAGCGGAGCGGCGGACGGGUGAGUAAUACCUAGGAAUCUGACUGGUAGUGGGGGAUAACGUUCGGAAACGGACGCUAAUACCGCAUACUAUCAGAUGAGCCUAGGUCGGAUUAGCUAGUUGGUGAGGUAAUGGCUCACCAAGGCUACGAUCCGUAACUGGCCUGCGAGGAUGAUCAGUCAAACGUGAACUGAGACACGGUCCAGACUCCUGCGGGAGGCAGCAGAUGGGAAUAUUGGACAGUGGGCGAAAGCCUGAUCCAGCCAUGCCGCGUGUAUGAAGAAGGUCUUCGGGUUGUAAAGCACUUUAAGGUGGGAGGCGUUACCUACAGAAUAAGCACCGGCUAACUCUGUGCCAGCAGCCGCGGUAAUUC
rnacentral:rRNA from 1 species